rnacentral:piRNA from 1 species
UGCAUUUAUUGUGUGUCUGCCCAAGUAAG